AUCGCUUCUCGGCCUUUUGGCUAAGAUCAAGUGUAAAAU
rnacentral:snRNA from 1 species